rnacentral:rRNA from 1 species
CAAAAACAUGUCUUUUUGAAUAUUAUAUAAGGUCUAACCUGCCCAAUGAGGAAUUGAAUGGCUGCGGUAUUUUAACCGUGCUAAGGUAGCAUAAUCAUUUGUCUUUUAAUUGAGGGCUUGUAUGAAAGGUUGGAUGAAGUAAUAACUUUCUUUAAUUUAACUUAUGAAUUAAAUUUUUUAGUUAAAAAGCUAAAAUGUUCUUAUUGGACGAGAAGACCCUAUAGAUCUUUAUAGGUCAUUAAAUUUAAUAAUUUGGGGAAUUACUUAUUUUUAAUUAAUUUCUUGUUUGGUUGGGGUGAUUGUAGAAUUUUAUGAACUUCUAUUGUUUAGUUUUCAAUAAUUAUUGUUUUAUUGAUCCAUAUAUAAUGAUUAAAAGAUUAAGUUACCUUAGGGAUAACAGCGUAAUUCUUUCGGAGAGUUCAUAUUGAUGAAGGAGUUUGCGACCUCGAUGUUGGAUUAAAAUAAGUAUUAGGUGUAGCAGCUUAAUAACUAGGUCUGUUCGACCUUUGAAGUUUUACAUGAUCUGAGUUCAAACCGGAGA